rnacentral:rRNA from 1 species
GAUGAACGCUGGCGGCGUGCUUAACACAUGCAAGUCGAACGGGAUCCAGGGGGGGUUUGCACUUUUUGGUUAGAGUGGCGAACGGGUGAGUAACACGGGUGUAACCUGUCCUUUUCUUUGGUAUAAGCAUUCGAAAGGGUGUUUAAUACCUUAUGUUCUUUCUGCCUCUCAUUGGGUGGGUGGGAAAGGCUUUGGCCGGAUUUGUGUGGGCUCGCGGUCUAUCAGCUUGUUGGUGGGGUGAUGGCUUACCAAGGCUUUGACGGGUAGACGGCCUGAGAGGGUGGUCGGUCAAAUUGGGACUGCGAUACGGGCCAGACUCCUGCGGGAGGCAGCAGUGGGGGAUAGUGGAAAAUGGGCGAAAGCAUGAUGCCGCGACGCAGCAUGGGGGAUGAAGGCUUUCGGGCUGUAAACUUCUUUUGCUAUGAACAAGGCAUGCCAGUCGGUGUGUUGAGUGUAGGGGUCGAUUAGCGCCGGCUAACUACGUG